rnacentral:rRNA from 1 species
GAUGAACGCUGGCGGCGUGCCUAAUACAUGCAAGUCGAGCGAACAGACGAGGAUCUUGCUCCUCUGACGUUAGCGGCGGACGGGUGAGUAACACGUAAAUAACCUACCUAUAAGACUUGGAUAACUUCGGGAAACCGGAGCUAAUACCGGAUAAUAUAUUGAACCUCAUGGUUCAAUAGUAAAAGACGGUGUUGCUGUCACUUAUAGAUGGAUCCGCGCCGCAGUAGCUAGUUGGUAAGGUAACGGCUUACCAAGGCAACUAUGCGUAGCCGACCUGAGAGGGUGAUAGGCCACACUGGAACUGAGACACGGUCCAGACUACUACGGGAGGCAGCAGUAGGGAAUCGUCCGCAAUGGGCGAAAGCCUGACGGAGCAACGCCGCGUGAGUGAUGAAGGUCCUCGGAUCGUAAAACUCUGUUAUUAGGGAAGAACAAAUGUGUAAGUAACUAUGCACGUCUUGACGGUACCUAAUCAGAAAGCCACGGCUAACUACGUG